rnacentral:rRNA from 1 species
AGAGUUUGAUCCUGGCUCAGGAUCAACGCUGGCGGCGUGCCUAACACAUGCAAGUCGAACGUCCUCUGUUUCCUACGGGAGAGAGAGGGAGUGGCGGACGGGUGAGUAACACAUGGGUGACCUGGCCUACAGUGAGGGAUACCGGCGAGAAAUCGCCGACAAACCCGCAUGGGCUCGCGCUGGUAGAGCGGAGCGAGCAA